rnacentral:rRNA from 1 species
AACGAACGCUGGCGGCGCGCCUAAUACAUGCAAGUCGAGCGAGAAGACGUAGCAAUACGUUUGUAAAGCGGCGAACGGGUGAGGAAUACAUGGGUAACCUACCCUCGAGUGGGAAGUAACUAGCCGAAAGGUUAGCUAAUACCGCGUACGCUCCUUGGACUUCGGUUCAGGGAGGAAAGCGAUACCGUGGGUAUCGCGCUCUUGGAUGGGC